rnacentral:rRNA from 1 species
UGGGGAAUAUUGGACAAUGGGCGAAAGCCUGAUCCAGCCAUGCCGCAUGUGUGAAGAAGGUCUUCGGAUUGUAAAGCACUCUAAGUUGGGAGGAAGGGCAUUAACCUAAUACGUUAGUGUUUUGACGUUACCGACAGAAUAAGCACCGGCUAACUCUGUGCCAGCAGCCGCGGUAAUACAGAGGGUGCAAGCGUUAAUCGGAAUUACUGGGCGUAAAGCGCGCGUAGGUGGUUUGUUAAGUUGGAUGUGAAAUCCCCGGGCUCAACCUGGGAACUGCAUUCAAAACUGACUGACUAGAGUAUGGUAGAGGGUGGUGGAAUUCCCUGUGUAGCGGUGAAAUGCGUAGAUAUAGGAAGGAACACCAGUGGCGAAGGCGACCACCUGGACUAAUACUGACACUGAGGUGCGAAAGCGUGGGGAGCAAACA